AAAAAAAAUAGAACAUCUCCUCAGUUAAUAUAGGGAUUGGGCCUCUUACAACGAGUUAAGAGUAUGGCGGCAACACUGAUUUUGGCAACUAGUUCUUGUGAAGAUCAUAUUAUCUUUGAUUGUGUUGCGUAAUAUGAAUCGACCCAGUAACUAAAACUUUGGAGGUGGAAUAAGCCACUUGUUUCCAUUGAUAUAAGUCAUGCUCAAGAAGGGUUUUGCUUCUUCAUCUGAUAACAUUUUUGCAUACUUGACUCGGCCGGAGGAGCUAGCACCUGGUCCCCUGCACUUGUACUCUCCAUAGUACGCAGUCUCAUUGGAUUCAGGGUGUUUGCCAGUGGACCAUCCUGCAUCGUU
rnacentral:misc_RNA from 1 species